UACGUAGGGUGCAAGCGUUGUCCGGAAUUAUUGGGCGUAAAGAGCUCGUAGGCGGUUUGUCGCGUCUGCUGUGAAAACUCGGGGCUUAACUCCGGGCCUGCAGUGGGUACGGGCAGACUAGAGUCCGGAAGAGGCGAGUGGAAUUCCUGGUGUAGCGGUGGAAUGCGCAGAUAUCAGGAGGAACACCAACGGCGAAGGCAGCUCGCUGGGACGGUACUGACGCUAAGGCGCGAAAGCGUGGGGAGCGAACAGG
rnacentral:rRNA from 1 species